rnacentral:rRNA from 1 species
CCUACGGGAGGCUGCAGUGGGGAAUAUUGGACAAUGGGGGCAACCCUGAUCCAGCCAUGCCGCGUGUGUGAAGAAGGCCCUCGGGUUGUAAAGCACUUUCAGUGAGGAAGAACGCCUGGUGGUUAAUACCCAUCAGGAAAGACAUCACUCACAGAAGAAGCACCGGCUAACUCCGUGCCAGCAGCCGCGGUAAUACGGAGGGUGCGAGCGUUAAUCGGAAUUACUGGGCGUAAAGCGCGCGUAGGUGGCUUGAUAAGCCGGUUGUGAAAGCCCCGGGCUCAACCUGGGAACGGCAUCCGGAACUGUCAAGCUAGAGUGCAGGAGAGGAAGGUAGAAUUCCCGGUGUAGCGGUGAAAUGCGUAGAGAUCGGGAGGAAUACCGGUGGCGAAGGCGGCCUUCUGGACUGACACUGACACUGAGGUGCGAAAGCGUGGGUAGCAAACAGGAUUAGAUACCCCUGUAGUC